AUUUAUGUAGUUUAUUAAAACAUUACAUUUUCAAUGUAAAAAUAAAAUUUUAAUUUUUAUAAA
rnacentral:tRNA from 1 species